UCCAGUGCUUCACCCUGAUUAAAGCCGUGUUUGCUGCAAGUCCUGACCUGCAUCCCUAAGCCGAGGGGUUUUUAGGAGUUUUGCUCCAUCCCAAAGCACAGCCUGUGUAAGCCUGGCCUGCUGGGUCCUGCUGCUCCAGAAACAAACCUGGGAAAGCUCAGAAAGUCCAAACAUGGCUUUUCAAAUGGCUGGAGCAGCAGAAUAAAGGAUGCAUUUGUCACAGUAACUUCAGUUUUCACCUGAAAACCCAGCACUCUUUGCCAUCUGAGAAGUCCCAGAAAUUUUCUAGACAAAACUGUUGGUCUGAGAUUUCACAGUUAACUUUGGAAGGCCUGAAGUGUAUAAGCUUCUCAGCUCGCAGAAAUCUGACUCCACUAUUUGUAAUACCAAAUUUUUUGAAGUUUCUCAGCCUGUAAGUAGCUUUGAAAUGAAUAAGGGCUUGCACUGCAGCUCUGUAAGGUGUCUUUUAUUCAAUUAGAGUAGGUACCAUGUUAACAUUCUUCAGUGUUGUCAUAAUUCCUCUUUUUUUUUCUUUUUUUUUUCCCAGUGAGAAUUAACUUGUCAACUGUGAAGAAGCUUCAAAUUUGUCUAUAAAUCAUUUUGCUGCAGGCUAAAAUUUGACAGGCUGUAGGUAAACACUUUUUCUCUGGUAAAAAAAAAAAAUAAGACCAAUACAUUACUAUUAUUUUUUCCCCUUUAGAAUAGAGCCUCUGAUGUCUCCAGUUUAUGACUACAGCCAAUUUUCUCCAAAUUACAGUGUGCUGUGUUCUUACAUUGCCAAGGUAAGUGAUCACCACGAGGCUGAGAACUGCAGGCAGACCUGUGGUGGCACCAUCUGAAAUUCAGCAAGGGAAUUAUUUCCAACCCAGAUUUCUGCUUGUGCUGAGCUGUGUCUCCUUCUCACCUGGGCAUUUCAGGAUUGUGAGCAGAUCCUGAGCCCCUCCCCACACGGGUGAGCUCUGUCCCUGCUGGACCCACCCUGACAAUUCCAGGCUGGAUUUCGAGGACGCCUCGCUGUGCCAGCGCUGCUGAUUUGCUGUUGAGGCUGGAAAUUUUUGACAAGUGACUCAUCCCUGUUCCAGCAACGUGUCCCAUUUGAU
rnacentral:lncRNA from 1 species